rnacentral:tRNA from 1 species
AGUUAAUGAGUUUAUAAAAACAUGUAUCUUGAAAAUACAAAUAAGAAAUUAAUAAUUCUAUUAACUU